rnacentral:rRNA from 1 species
UUUUAAUAUUUAAAUUUUUUUAGUUUGAUGUAGUAAAGUGUAGUGUAAUUUAAAAUUAUAAUAAAUUUUAGUGGUUUUUUAAUAAAAAUAAUUGAAUUAUUUAUUUUAUAUGAGUUUUAAUGUAAAUGAGUAUAUAAUAUAAUUAUUAAAGUGUAAUUAAUUUUUAGUACCUUUUGUAUCAGGGUUUAUUAAAAUUUACUAAAUUAAUAUUUAAUUAUCUCGAAAAUGAUAGAGCUACAAAAUAUAUGUAAAUUAAUGUUUUAAUAUUAUUUAUAAUUUUUUAGUAGAGGUGAUAUGCUAUUCAAUUUCAUUGAUAUCUAGUUUUUGCUUAAUCUAAUUUAAUUAGGGAAUGAGGUAUAAGUAGUAAUUCUUUGAUUAUAUAAUUACGGUUUCCUCUUUCUUAUACCUUGGGGGAUAACCUCCAAUGUAUGUUAAAAAUUUUAGUAUAUUAAAUUUAAAAAUUAUAAAUAAAAUUUUUAAUAUGUAGGAAAAAUUUAAUAAUUUAUUAAUUUGGUUUAAUUUUGCUUUAAGAUUAGUUGAAAAAUUAUUUUAAUUUGUUAGGUAAAUAAAUUAUUUAAUAAAAAUUUAAUUGAAAUAAUGGUAGAAUUAGUAUAAAUAUGAUAGUAAAAUGUUUGUGGUUUAGUUAAAAUUUUAUUUUAUAUAUAUAUAAUGAGUUUAUGAAUUAGGCAAAAUUAGGUCCAUCUGUUUAUCAAAGACAUAUUCUUUAGAGUUAAUAAUUUAAGGUGGUCCCUGCUCAAUGAUAUUUUAAAUAGCCGCAGUAAUAUGACUGUGCAAAGGUAGCAUAAUAACUUGUCUCUUAAUUAGAGGCUUGAAUGAAUGGGUUUAUGAGAUCUAGACUUUAUUAAUUUAUUUUAUUGGAACUUAAGAUUUAAGUAAAAAAUGCUUAGAUUAAUUCAGAGGACGAGAAGACCCUAUAGAAUUUGAUAAAAUUAAUAUUUAUUAUUAAUUAUUUUAUAUUUAUAUAAAUUAUUUUAUUUAGUUGGGAGGACUUCUAAAUUAAUUAAACUUUAGAUUUUAUUAAAACAAUUAAUUAUUGAAUUAAUGAUUAUAAGUAUUUAUAUAGGAAUUAAUUACCUUAGGGAUAACAGCGUAAUACUUUUGGAUAGUUCAUAUAUAUAAAAGUGUUUGCGACCUCGAUGUUGAAUUAAGAUUAAGUUAUAAGUAGAAUUAUAAUUUUAAAGUCUGUUCGACUUUUUAAAUUGAUCUUACAUGAUUUGAGUUCAGAUCGGUGUGAGCCAGAUCGGUUUCUAUCCUUGAAAAAUUUAAAUAAUUUUUGUACGAGAGGACUUAAUUAUUUUAAUUUAUUAAAAAUAUAAA